rnacentral:lncRNA from 1 species
CCGCAGUUUUGUGACCAUGGCGCCCUGAACGCGAGCCAAAUCCAGGGGUGCAGUGGUCCGCACUACCCCAUCAGCUGAGAGUGUAGAGAAGGUGCAAGAAGAAACAAAGUUCUGUACCGCCCCAGGUGACAUUAGACAGGUGAAGAGAGAUGAAGAAUGUGAUUGAAGAAACAGCCAACAGAAGGGGCAAGGGUCAAGGGUUCCUUAGCCUCUGCCCUCCACAUUAGCUUAUCUACAGGUCAGAACUUCACUUGCAGACUGGGGUUCCCCCACACACACCCACACCCACACAUCUGACUGCUCCUUACCAGGGAUAAGCAAAGCAAAAAGAAACUCCAGGAGCCUGGGCAGUGCCAUGGCAGCCUAAAGAAAUGGUGGAGGAAGCUGUUUCUCAGGCUAACUCUGUUGCCUGGCUAGUUGCUUAAACAUAGCCAUCAGGUGGCUUCUGAGACUCCAGCUCCAGCUCCACCCACCCCGUGACAGAGCAGUUAGCUACCCGGCAGGCUCCAGGAGCUGCUGGAAAAUCCCAUCUUCCCCUGUUUCCAGUGAAUUCUUCCAUUCAUUACUGCAACCCUAAGGGGAUACAAGCUACAGAUGGUAAAACUGGUCACAUUGUCCUUGCAGACAGAGCAAACCCAGUGCCCAGGAAAAUUAUCCCCAAGACCUGCUUCCCCACAGAGUCUGCGUUCCAGCUGCCUCCUCUUACCGUUAGAACCGUAUCUGCCUAUAAAAAUCGAAGCUCGGCCACCAAGAAAAUCAAAAGUUGUCUACAUUCAUCAAACAAAAGAAUCCUUAGUAGAAGAAAUAAAACUAAGGAUUACUUGUGUGAAUAUCAAGCGCAGGGGACCAAGGACUCUUCUGAGAGGAAAUGAAGACAUGCUGUGUGUUGGUCUGGAACACAGCUACACCAGCCUAAGAUUAGUCUGCAGACCAAGAUUUACUGAGCCAGUGUCAUUAAGAUUUGUCAGUUUAUUAUAUUUCCAUUUAAAACGUCUUUCUGAGACAAGGUUUCUUUAUGU